ACUAUUUUGGCAGAAAAAAUGUAAUGAUUUUAGAAAUCAUAAAUGUAUAUGAUUAUAGAUAUAUAUGUAGUA
rnacentral:tRNA from 1 species